GGCGGUUAGAUAANUCUGAAGUUAAAGGCUGUGGCUUAACCAUAGUACGCUUUGGAAACUGUUUAACUUGAGUGCAAGAGGGGAGAGUGGAAUUCCAUGUGUAGCGGUGAAAUGCGUAGAUAUAUGGAGGAACACCGGUGGCGAAAGCGGCUCUCUGGCUUGUAACUGACGCUGAGGCUCGAAAGCGUGGGGAGCAAACAGGAUUAGAUACCNUGGUAGUCCACGCCGUAAACGAUGAGUGCUAGGUGUUAGACCCUUCCCGGGGUUUAGUGCCGCAGCUAACGCAUUAAGCACUCCGCCUGGGGAGUACGACCGCAAGGUUGAAACUCAAAGGAAUUGACGGGGGCCCGCACAAGCGGUGGAGCAUGUGGUUUAAUUCGAAGCAACGCGAAGAACCUUACCAGGUCUUGACAUCCCUCUGACCGCUCUAGAGAUAGAGUUUUCCUUCGGGACAGAGGUGACAGGUGGUGCAUGGUUGUCGUCAGCUCGUGUCGUGAGAUGUUGGGUUAAGUCCCGCAACGAGCGCGACCCCUAUUGUUAGUUGCCAUCAUUCAGUCGGGCACUCUAGCGAGACUGCCGGUAAUAAACCGGAGGAAGGUGGGGAUGACGUCAAAUCAUCAUGCCCCUUAUGACCUGGGCUGCACACGUGCUACAAUGGCUGGUACAACGAGUCGCAAGCCGGUGACGGCAAGCUAAUCUCUUAAAGCCAGACUCAGUUCGGAUUGUAGGCUGCAACUCGCCUACAUGAAGUCGGAAUCGCUAGUAAUCGCGGAUCAGCACGCCGCGGUGAAUACGUUCCCGGGCCUUGUACACACCGCC
rnacentral:rRNA from 1 species